CCUACGGGCGGCAGCAGUGGGGGAUAUUGCACAAUGGGGGAAACCCUGAUGCAGCGACGCCGCGUGGGUGAAGAAGCGCCUCGGCGCGUAAAGCCCUGUCAGCAGGGAAGAAAAUGACGGUACCUGAAGAAGAAGCCCCGGCUAACUACGUUCCAGCAGCCGCGGUAAUACGUAGGGGGCAAGCGUUAUCCGGAUUUACUGGGUGUAAAGGGGGCGCAGACGGCCAUGCAAGUCAGGAGUGAAAGCCCGGGGCCCAACCUCGGGACUGCUCUUGGAACUGCGUGGCUAGAGUGCAGGAGGGGCAGGCGGAAUGCCUGGUGUAGCGGUGAAAUGCGUAGAUAUCAGGAGGAACACCGGUGGCGAAGGCAGCCUGCUGGACUGCAACUGACGUUGAGGCCCGAAAGCGUGGGGAGCAAACAGGAUUAGAUACCCGGGUAGUC
rnacentral:rRNA from 1 species